rnacentral:rRNA from 1 species
AACGAACUCUGGCGGCAGGCCUAACACAUGCAAGUCGAACGCCCUAGCAAUAGGGAGUGGCAGACGGGUGAGUAACACGUGGGAACCUUCCCUAUAGUACGGAAUAUACCAGGGAAACUUGGAGCAAUACCGUAUACGCCCGAGAGGGGAAGAUUUAUCGCUAUAGGAUGGGCCCGGCGUAGGAUUAGCUAGUUGGUGAGGUAAUGGCUCACCAAGGGCGACGAUCCUUAGCNGGUUUGAGAGAACGACCAGCCACACUGGGACUGAGACACGGCCCAGACUCCUACGGGAGGCAGCAGUGGGGAAUAUUGGACAAUGGGCGCAAGCCUGAUCCAGCCAUGCCGCGUGAGUGAUGAAGGCCUUAGGGUUGUAAAGCUCUUUUGCCGGGGACGAUAAUGACGGUACCGGAGAAUAGUCCCGCUAACUUCGUGCCAACAGCCGCCGCAGUAAU